UCGAGUGACUGGUCGAGUGGCUGC
rnacentral:siRNA from 1 species